AAAUAUAUAUAUAUAUAUAUAUAUAUAGAGAGAGAGAGAGAGAGAGAGAGAGAGAGAGAGAGAGAGAGAGAGUUGGACUGGGCUAGCAAAAUUCUAUUGUUGCUACCAGUUUUUUAGCCUUUGGAUUAACUCUUUUCAUUAUUUCCAACUAUUAGAUUAAAUACUAUAACCCAGUGGGGACCACUCAACCCUAAGGAGACCGUUCAACUCUAAUCGACUAAUAUCAUCUCGAUCCUACAAUUUUUCAUCCAACCGUUAAAACUUGAUAGCAAAAAUAACGUUUUACUAUUAAUAGUAUUCCAGCCUAAUUAUAUAUAUAUAUAUAUAUAUAUUAGGCAUUCAAAAUAUUUUUCUAAAAAAAUAUUAGAAAAGAUGGAUUAAAUA
rnacentral:lncRNA from 1 species